UACGGCCACAUGACGUUGAAACACCGAUUCCUGUACGAUCACGGAAGUUAAGCAAAGUCGAGCCUGGUCUAUACCUAGAUGGGUGACUGCUUGGGAAGAUCAGAUACUGAA